rnacentral:rRNA from 1 species
UUUUAUGGAGAGUUUGAUCCUGGCUCAGAGUGAACGCUGGCGGCGUGCCUAAUACAUGCAAGUCGAACGAUGAAGCUUUCUAGCUUGCUAGAAUGCUGAUUAGUGGCGCACGGGUGAGUAACGCAUAGGUUAUGUGCCUUUUAGUUUGGGAUAGCCAUUGGAAACGAUGAUUAAUACCAGAUACUCCCUACGGGGGAAAGAUUUAUCGCUAAGAGAUCAGCCUAUGUCCUAUCAGCUUGUUGGUAAGGUAAUGGCUUACCAAGGCUAUGACGGGUAUCCGGCCUGAGAGGGUGAACGGACACACUGGAACUGAGACACGGUCCAGACUCCUACGGGAGGCAGCAGUAGGGAAUAUUGCUCAAUGGGGGAAACCCUGAAGCAGCAACGCCGCGUGGAGGAUGAAGGUUUUAGGAUUGUAAACUCCUUUUGUUAGAGAAGAUAAUGACGGUAUCUAACGAAUAAGCACCGGCUAACUCCGUGCCAGCAGCCGCGGUAAUACGGAGGGUGCAAGCGUUACUCGGAAUCACUGGGCGUAAAGAGCGCGUAGGCGGGAUAGUCAGUCAGGUGUGAAAUCCUAUGGCUUAACCAUAGAACUGCAUUUGAAACUACUAUUCUAGAGUGUGGGAGAGGUAGGUGGAAUUCUUGGUGUAGGGGUAAAAUCCGUAGAGAUCAAGAGGAAUACUCAUUGCGAAGGCGACCUGCUGGAACAUUACUGACGCUGAUUGCGCGAAAGCGUGGGGAGCAAACAGGAUUAGAUACCCUGGUAGUCCACGCCCUAAACGAUGGAUGCUAGUUGUUGGAGGGCUUAGUCUCUCCAGUAAUGCAGCUAACGCAUUAAGCAUCCCGCCUGGGGAGUACGGUCGCAAGAUUAAAACUCAAAGGAAUAGACGGGGACCCGCACAAGCGGUGGAGCAUGUGGUUUAAUUCGAAGAUACACGAAGAACCUUACCUAGGCUUGACAUUGAGAGAAUCCGCUAGAAAUAGUGGAGUGUCUGGCUUGCCAGACCUUGAAAACAGGUGCUGCACGGCUGUCGUCAGCUCGUGUCGUGAGAUGUUGGGUUAAGUCCCGCAACGAGCGCAACCCCCUUUCUUAGUUGCUAACAGGUCAUGCUGAGAACUCUAAGGAUACUGCCUCCGUAAGGAGGAGGAAGGUGGGGACGACGUCAAGUCAUCAUGGCCCUUACGCCUAGGGCUACACACGUGCUACAAUGGGGUGCACAAAGAGAAGCAAUACUGCGAAGUGGAGCCAAUCUUCAAAACACCUCUCAGUUCGGAUUGUAGGCUGCAACUCGCCUGCAUGAAGCUGGAAUCGCUAGUAAUCGCAAAUCAGCCAUGUUGCGGUGAAUACGUUCCCGGGUCUUGUACUCACCGCCCGUCACACCAUGGGAGUUGUGUUUGCCUUAAGUCAGGAUGCUAAAUUGGCUACUGCCCACGGCACACACAGCGACUGGGGUGAAGUCGUAACAAGGUAACCGUAGGUGAACCUGCGGUUGGAUCACCUCCUUUCUAGA